AUAAAACCCAAUCAUACACAGAAUCAUUCAUACUGUCUGAUGUGAAAAACAUCAUGGGAUCAGUUCUUGCUAGACUUCAUCGCCAAGACAACACGAAGCUCAAUGCUUUCCUGAAAAACACUUCCAAGAUGAC